GAGUUUGAUCUUGGCUCAGGAUGAACGCUGGCGGCGUGCCUAAUACAUGCAAGUCGAACGAACAGAUAAGGAGCUCGCUCCUUUGACGUUAGCGGCGGACGGGUGAGUAACACGUGGGUAACCUACCUAUAAGACUGGAAUAACUCCGGGAAACCGGGCUAAUGCCGGAUAACAUGUUAGAACCGCAUUGGUUCCUACAGUAGAAAGACGGUCUUGCUGU
rnacentral:rRNA from 1 species